rnacentral:rRNA from 1 species
GAUGAACGCUGGCGGCGUGCCUAACACAUGCAAGUCGAGCGUGAUUGUUUGGACUGGCGACUUCGGUCAAAGGGAAGAACAUGAAAGCGGCGGACGGGUGAGUAACGCGUGAGCAACCUGCCCUGUACAGGGGGAUAGCCACUGGAAACGGUGAUUAAUACCCCAUAAGUCUGUAGGACCGCAUGGUCCAGCAGACAAAGCCUUGGCGGUACAGGAUGGGCUCGCGUCUGAUUAGCUAGUUGGUGAGGUAAUGGCUCACCAAGGCGACGAUCAGUAGCCGACCUGAGAGGGUGAUCGGCCACACUGGAACUGAGACACGGUCCAGACUCCUACGGGAGGCAG